rnacentral:rRNA from 1 species
UACGUAGGUGGCAAGCGUUUGUCCGGAAUUAUUGGGCGUAAGCGCGCGCAGGUGGUUUCUUAAGUCUGAUGUGAAAGCCCACGGCUCAACCGUGGAGGGUCAUUGGAAACUGGGGAACUUGAGUGCAGGAGAGAAGAGUGGAAUUGCCACGUGUAGCGGUGAAAUGCGUAGAAGAUGUGGAGGAACACCAGUGGCGAAGGCGGAUCUCUGGGCCAUAACUGACGCGAGGAGCGAAAGCUGGGGAGCAACAGGG